ACACAUCUCCAUGUCCACAGAUUCCACACUGGUUUGAAGGUGAACAAUCUGGGUCAACAAAAAACAAUCCAUUCCCUUUACCUGAUGCUUACAUGGCAUCGCAGCAGAGAAGGCAAAAAAACUUGGAGGAGAUUAAGCAGAGCUUGCGGGAAGCUGAGCUUGAAGAGAGCCGGAAAAAGGAAUUAACAACAGCUCUCCAUCAGUGCUUUAAAGACUGGUUAUAUGCUUCAGGAAAUAUACGGCAAUUGUACUGUCUUCAAAAUGAUUAGACUUCUACAGAGGUCAUGCAGCAGUAUUGCAAAGACAGUAGCAGAAACACAUGACUUUCCCUGUAGAUUUCAGUUUCGCCACAGCAAGUUCCUCUUUUGCCAUUUCUUUUGGUGCUUGAGGCAGCUGAGAGUUUUAAUGCUAUUGCCUGUGCACGCAUGAACAAGUUCAAACUUUUGUACUGUUGUGCAGAUUUAAGUUAGAAUGGCUUUUUGUACUGUAUUUCAUUAAAGCAGAAUGCAUUCUCCUGUACUAAUAUGGUAGCUUGUAUUUUUUACAUUAGGUUCUCCAUUUCGCCUGACUUACUAGGUUCUGAAAUAUAGCACUCUGUUUUAGCAUUUGUUUGCUUUGGCUUGUUGGGUUCCUGUAUACAAAUAAGAGAUGCAGAAGAGAGGCCAGUAUUUUGUAGAACUGGUCACAUAAACCCUGAAAAGAAUCAAUUUUGUAUUCUAAAUGCAUUUCUGAUAA